rnacentral:tRNA from 2 species
GGGCCCGUGGCCUAGCCAGGAUAAGGCACCGGCCUGCGGAGCCGGAGAUCCCGGGUUCAAAUCCCGGCGGGCCCG